GGGGAAUAUUGCACAAUGGGCGAAAGCCUGAUGCAGCGACGCCGCGUGCGGGAUGAAGGCCUUCGGGUUGUAAACCGCUUUUGAUUGGGAGCAAGCGAGAGUGAGUGUACCUUUCGAAUAAGCACCGGCUAACUACGUGCCAGCAGCCGCGGUAAUACGUAGGGUGCAAGCGUUAUCCGGAAUUAUUGGGCGUAAAGAGCUCGUAGGCGGUUUGUCGCGUCUGGUGUGAAAGUCCAUCGCUUAACGGUGGAUCUGCGCCGGGUACGGGCAGGCUAGAGUGCGACAGGGGAGACUGGAAUUCCCGGUGUAACGGUGGAAUGUGUAGAUAUCGGGAAGAACACCAAUGGCGAAGGCAGGUCUCUGGGUCGUCACUGACGCUGAGGAGCGAAAGCGUGGGGAGCGAACAGGAUUAGAUACCCUGGUAGUCCACGCCGUAAACGGUGGAUGCUGGAUGUGGGGCCCAUUCCACGGGUUCCGUGUCGGAGCUAA
rnacentral:rRNA from 1 species